rnacentral:rRNA from 1 species
ACUCAAAUGAAUUGACGGGGACCCGCACAAGCGGUGGAGCAUGUUGUUUAAUUCGAAGCAACGCGAAGAACCUUACCUACACUUGACAUGCCCUUUAGGACUUUCAGAGAUGAUUGUUUUCAGUUCGGCUGGGAGGAGCACAGGUGCUGCAUGGCUGUCGUCAGCUCGUGUCGUGAGAUGUUGGGUUAAGUCCCGCAACGAGCGCAACCCUUAUCGUAUGUUGCCAGCAUUUAGUUGGGCACUCAUGCGAGACUGCCGGUGAUAAGCCGGAGGAAGGCGGGGACGACGUCAAGUCAUCAUGGCCCUUACGUGUAGGGCUACAAACGUGCUACAAUGGCGGUGACAGUGGGCACUGAGGUCGUGAGGCCAAAGUAAUCCCUAAAAGCCGUCUCAGUUCAGAUUGUAGUCUGCAACUCGACUACAUGAAGUUGGAAUCGCUAGUAAUCGUGAAUCAGCAUGUCACGGUGAAUACGUUCCCGGGUCUUGUACACACCGCCCGU